rnacentral:rRNA from 1 species
GACGAACGCUGGCGGCGUGCUUAACACAUGCCAGUCGAACGGAAAGGCCCUGCUUGCAGGGUACUCGAGUGGCGAACGGGUGAGUAACACGUGGGUGAUCUGCCCUGCACUUCGGGAUAAGCCUGGGAAACUGGGUCUAAUACCGGAUAGGAGCCAUUUUUAGUGUUAUGGUUGGAAAGUUUUUUCGGUGUAGGAUGAGCUCGCGGCCUAUCAGCUUGUUGGUGGGGUAAUGGCCUACCAAGGCGGCGACGGGUAGCCGGCCUGGGAGGGUGGACGGCCACAUUGGGACUGAGAUACGGCCCAGACUCCUACGGGAGGCAGCAGUGGGGAAUAUUGCACAAUGGGCGCAAGCCUGAUGCAGCGACGCCGCGUGGGGGAUGACGGCCUUCGGGUUGUAAACUCCUUUCGCUAGGGACGAAGCUUUUUGUGACGGUACCUAGAUAAGAAGCACCGGCUAACUACGUG